rnacentral:lncRNA from 1 species
GUUGGCCAUACCAGGUGCCUUGAUUGGAGGGGAGGCCUUGUCAACCUAAUUUCAGGAACAGGUGAACAUCACGCACUUUGCAGCUGUGUUUUUCUCCCGACUGGCAGCUACACACCUUUCCUCUGCAACCAUCCUGCCUGAGAGUUUAAGUGCAUGUUAUCUGUGGGACCUCGUGCAAUCCAGUUUUCUUAUAGAACUGCAUGCUUAUGUGAGCAUUCUGUUCCCCAAAUAAUAACUCCACAGUUUCCAUGCUCUCUCCAAACUCUUGCAGUCUUUUGUCAUCUUGUUGGUUCCCUUACUAGCAAAUUAACUCGUUUAGACUCGGAGAGCCCUGCCAGUUGAAGUCCAGCUGGGAAGAAAUCCAGGACCAGGAACCUUUCCAAAAGGUGCAGAUCAAAUGGAAAUGUUGCCAGGAGGCCACGAAGACCCAGGGAUUCAUGACUGUCCAGGACUCUUCCUCACCACCAAGGCUUCCAGCUCACAGCGUUUAAGGGGUGUAGGCUGGCCUAGAGAAAGCAGGAGGACAGGGGCCCCUUAGCAGGCAACAAGGACCAAC